GGUUAACGUGAGGUGCAGUGAUAGUAUCUGUGUUAUCCGGGGUUUGGCUCUGCUCCAGCUCCAGAGUCAUCCACACAUGAAGCCGUCUAUAUACAUUUUAAUGACGUGCACUCUGGCUCACGAACAUUCAUCCAGGGAGAGAGGACAGGAACAAGGCCAUCCUCGAGGUCAGUCAUGAUGAAACUGCAGUCUGCCUCCUGUGUGCUAAUGUGUCUGCACUGACACAUACUGUAGGGCGUGGCUCUCCACUGCACUCCUCCUGCCAAUCAGCCUGCACACCUGAGAUCUAUCCACUAAUCACUCCUGCAGAUCAGCACUCACCCAGGAUUUUUCACUGCUUCCCUCAACCUCUCCUGCCGUCAAAUCCUCUGUUCCAUCCCCGGCUUCAGACUCCAUAUCCAACC